GAUGAACGCUGGCUACAGGCUUAACACAUGCAAGUCGAGGGGAAACGACGGGGAAGCUUGCUUCCCCGGGCGUCGACCGGCGCACGGGUGAGUAACGCGUAUCCAACCUGCCUCUGACUGAGGGAUAACCCGUCGAAAGUCGGCCUAAUACCUCAUGGUAUCGUCUGCGGGCAUCCAACGACGAUUAAAGAUUUCAUCGGUCAGGGAUGGGGAUGCGUCUGAUUAGCUUGUUGGCGGGGUAACGGCCCACCAAGGCUACGAUCAGUAGGGGUUCUGAGAGGAAGGUCCCCCACAUUGGAACUGAGACACGGUCCAAACUCCUACGGGAGGCAGCAGUGAGGAAUAUUGGUCAAUGGGCGAGAGCCUGAACCAGCCAAGUAGCGUGCAGGAAGACGGCCCUAUGGGUUGUAAACUGCUUUUAUGCGGGGAUAAAGUGAGGGACGUGUCUCUCAUUGCAGGUACCGCAUGAAUAAGGACCGGCUAAUUCCGUGCCAGCAGCCGCGGUAAUACGGAAGGUCCUGGCGUUAUCCGGAUUUAUUGGGUUUAAAGGGAGCGUAGGCCGUGGAUUAAGCGUGUUGUGAAAUGCAGGUGCUCAACGUCUGCACUGCAGCGCGAACUGGUCCACUUGAGUGUGCGCAACGCAGGCGGAAUUCGUCGUGUAGCGGUGAAAUGCUUAGAUAUGACGAAGAACUCCGAUUGCGAAGGCAGCUUGCGGGAGCACAACUGACGCUGAAGCUCGAAAGUGCGGGUAUCGAACAGG
rnacentral:rRNA from 1 species